UCGUGACUGCCGCCCUAGCUACUUUCCACCCGCAAGCUCCGCCAAGUCUCCGCCAAGCUCUGCCCGUUGCCUUUACUGUGUUUUCUCAAAACAUAAGUUGUGAAUUUGGCGGUGUAUGAAUUUGGCCAAGUUUCCAUCUCGGUCGUUGAGAAUCCACUAAACUCUCUUUAUUCUGAAUCACAAGUCGAAGCUCAGCCCUAGUUUCCGCCAAGCUCUGCUGUCGUCUUUACUGUGUUUUCUCAAAACACAUUUUGUGAAUCUGGUGGUGUGUGAAUAUUUCCAAGUUUCCAUCUCGCUUGUUGAGAAUCCGUGGUAUGGCCCUCUUUUGUGUUUCUCUUUUCUAAUUCGCUUAUUCGAGUUCUUCGAUCUUCUUUUUCUUCUCUAACAUAAAAAAAUUUGGUAAGGUUUCAUAUUUUGGUAUUUUGUUUCUUUUACAAAAUCAGUGAAAAGGUUAUUGGGUUUGGAUUCCUAGUUUGAUAAUGUAAUUUUCUAAACUUUAUAUAAAAUUUCGAUUCGGUAUCCUCAGCGGCAGAUUUUAAUUGCCUUCUUUUGCUUCGUUGAUGUGUGUUUCUGCCUUCGCCAUGGAUUAACUAAUCCAUGUAACUAGCAAUUUUAUUUGUAUGCUAUAGAAGAGCGCCGAAAGCACCUUCGUGAAUUGCUAAUUGUGUUUAGUGAAAAGCUGGUACAUAAGUUGAGAUAAAAAGCUCAGACAGAGAACUCUUAUUAAUCCCAAUGAAUGGGAUGAAAAAAUGGUAUAUAAGUUGAACAUUCGGCAUUUAGUUACAUAGGUGGCUUGUAGAAAAAUAUUUUCUAAAACAUCUUUGUUCAUUACUUGGAUUGAGUGGCAAUUUCAACUUACUGCAAUUUUGGUGUUCUGGACUAGUGGAUUUCAUACGCAUUUAUUGUGAUCAAAUGACUAUUAGAUAUUUGACUACUAUGUUUUGCUUUCGAGUAGGUAUUCUGUUUGCUUGGGAAAUUGCAAUCCUAGUUGUAUAUAUCAAUGUUUUAUGUUGCGCUUUUGUUUGUUUGAAUGUGUUCUAAUUUGCUAUGACAUUGCUAAUUUCAAUGUGAAUGCUAUAUUUUGUUCCUCCACACAGGUAACAGCUUGUGUGAUUGUAGUAUUCCCCUGUUGCUUGGGCCUACUUGGUUUUGCAUUUUUUCUUAGAGAAUCACUUGCUGUAGUUGUUCCACAUUGUUGCUGUCCAGUUUUAGGCACAAAAACUGGUGCUUUUGCGUUUAGUUUGCUGCUUGUGUGAUUGUAGUAUUCCCCUGUUGCUUGGGCCUGCUUGAUUUUGUAUUUUUUCUUAGAGAAUCACCUGUUGUAGUUGUUCCACAUUGUUGUUGUCCAGUUUUAGGCACCAAAACUGGUGCUUUUGCGUUUAGUUUGCUGCUGGAAAUUGGGCAUUCCUUCUCAACCUCAUCCUUUAUCAUGUCAAUGAUAUCGAAGCCUUUCAAUGUCCUGCUAGGGAUGGCUUCAUGUUCAAUAGUCCCAUUCUCAUUAAUGUCAGCUAGCAGAAUAGGUGCAUCACAACCAUGAAAAGUCAAUAAGACAGAAAAUUCAUUGUCUUGAAACUAUACCUUAUAAAAAAAAAAAAAAGAAGCAAAAAACUCAUUGUCUGGAACUGUUUUCACAAUCUGCUUCGAGAUCCUUCUCUGCUUAAUAUCAUUUCUUGAUUCCUUUAGGACUCUAGUAAUGCCAUCUCAUCCACUUUUUAUUAGCGAAAGGAAAAGUGGGAAAAGGAGUGUGGGUACAUAGACAUAGGGAUAUGACUACAGGUAAAUAUACAUUAAGAAAAAGUUCAUAUUUUUCUUUAGUGAAGAUAACAGUACAUAUUUUCUUUAUAUACACAUUUAAAACUGAGCAAACAAUAAACCAAAAUGGAUCAAUCAAGACCGCCAUCUUGAAUCACAAGACGAACACAAGACACAAGGACACAUUACAACAUAUGAAGAAUCACAAGUGCACAAUGCACAAAUCAAAAUCACACGGCUAACUGUAAAGAAAGAAGCAUCCACAAGUAAAACAAAGAAAUACAAGUGCAUUGUGCGCGCAUUAGGAACCAAUACCAAAUAUGAAAACGUACAAAAUCCGUAAAAGUAUUGUUAAUACACAUUCAUGGACAAAACUGCCUAUUUUUGGUAAAGAUGGUGAACCAACUAAGAGUAGGCCUAUAUCUUCACUCUCUUAAGAAUCAUCCUCACUCGAAUUUCCAACAUACGCAUCACCAUAAUCUUCCUCAUCAUUCACAUUAGCAAGAGCAGCAAACAGAUUUGUACUACUUCGUGCACAUGUAUUGUCUCUUGAGCCAUCCUGCUGCAUUUUGCUAUUUUUUGGAGUGCCUUUUUUUACUGGACAUACUUGUCCAGUCUACUGCCCUUAUUGGUUCUGUCCAUAUGCUUUCUCGUGCUAAUAAUUCUCAUUGAAUAAAGAUGCUAGCUUUUGCUUAAUCUCUAGUUACGAAAAUGUACCAUAUGGAUUAAAUUGUCUUCCCUAUCUGAUGUGUCUGUCGGCAUGACCUUAGGCCGUUGAUAUUCAGCUUGGACUUGCAAUUGACAGUACUAAAGCAAUACUGGCUGUCAAAAGAAGGCUUGUAUGCGAGAUGGUAAAAUACUGGCGGAGAAGGGCUUAUACUGCUUGCCUUUGUUUGAUAUGUUUAUUCAGUACCAAUACAAACUGAAACUACACCAAAGUGGAAGGAUUCAAACUCUUGGGGUCAAAUCAAAGAUAAACUUCUCCACGAGUCUUCAUACCCAUUUCAGUUAGGGCAGAUGGCCGAAAGGAUCAAUGUGUUAUUGGAGGAGUACCGCUCGGUGGGGCGCUUUGUGAGUGCCAACCGGGUGCAGCUGCUGGACGUAGUACAAUUCUGCUAAAACUUGCAAAAAAGCUCUGCAUUUGUCUGUUCGAGUUAGUGCCAAAGCAUACUCGAUUGCUUUAAUUUAACAAAGGGUUAUAUGAAUCCUCUAUAGAAUUUGUCUAUAUUCUAGUCCAUUUCAUUCCAGUGCUAAUUAAAUAAGGGAUUCUUUGAGUCUCGCACUUAUUCCUAUACUGGUAACUAGUUUAGUCCCGACUAGUUGGCAUUGCCUAUAUGUUUCAUUUACUUCAAUUGGAGUAAUUGAUCCUUUUAAACUCCUUCCCCUAACAUAUAUGAGCAUACUAACUUGUAGAACUGUCUAGUGCUUAAAAUUCAUCAGACUCGGAAACGUCAUAUUUUUAUUUGGAGCCUCUUAUGUGGUUGUAGUAUGUCAUCACAACAUAUUUUUUACAUCCCACCUUAUCCCGUCUCUUCUGCCUGCCUAACUUCCAUUUUUCAAUCCAGAAUCCUCCACUCUGGGGAACGAUGAAGUAAUCUUGCAGAGAAAAUUCCAAAGGACACUUCAAUCAAAGCGCGAAUCAACAGGGACUUGUACUCUUAUGAAAAGUAAGUUUUCUUUCUUGUUUUUGAUUUCGAAGUUGUGAUGAUACAUGGCUGCAGAAUUACUUAUCUGAAGUAGAUUCCUAAAUUUUGGUAUUGGCUUUGAGAGAUGGCAUGCAUUCCUCACAUAGGAGUAUAUUUUUUGAAUUUGGCUCGACACAUUAGAAGAUACCUUCUUGACUUUGAUGAGGUAUAAAAUUGUACUUGUACAGUAAGCUUUGUUCUGCAUCAGCUAAACCAACCCCCAAAAGCAAAAAAAAAGAAGUAUGAAUUAAAAAAUAAAUAAAAGAUAGACUAACCCCCCACCCCCACCCCCCUAUGAAAGAAAAAAAAAAUGCACAGUAAUGACAACUAAUUACAAAAAAAGAGGAGAACUUUAAGAGUGUUAGACUGUUAUCCGUAACAAAUAUAGCACAUUGUCUAAAGGCAAAUAUUUUGAUGUAAAUUCAUAUGCUAGUGACGCCAUGGCGGCUGAUAAAGUCAGUUAAUUACACUUCAGUCCCAAACUAGUUGGGAUAAUUCAUAAGCUAAUGACACUCAGAUAAAAUAAGGUGCUGUGAGAGUUCCUUAUUCAAUAUUGGCACCUGCUUAUUAACAUACAUAGGACAGAAAGUUAUCCCAUAUCCCUGAAUGAUAAUGUUAGACUAAGCAUUCUAAUCUUUAUGCUCUGCACACCAAUUGCCAAAUCCAACUGUGUGUUUCUUGGACUAAGUUACAUAUGUCAUCAAAGCACAAUAAAGUGUGCUCGGAUGUCUACCUUGCCUGAAUCACUCAAAAAUGGUUGUGCAUUAUAAAGGACAAGCAUUUUCCAAUGAAGUCUUUCACUCAUCAGCUAGUAAAAUCAAGGUAACAGUUUGGUCUAUAAUUUUGUUACCUCUUGCUGUUGUCAUAGAUGGUAAAAUCCAGAAGGAUUUAAAGAAGUAAACAAAAGAAAGAAAAUACCAAGACACCUUGGCUUCAAUAUAUUUCCACUUCACGAAAAGCCUACGCUUUUCUCCCUAACCAUUUGAUAAUGGAAGGUUCAUGAUGUUAUCUUGAGCAUGCAAGGUAACAAAAAGCAAAGUAGUGAUAUCUCAGACACUAUCUGGCAACAAAAAGAGAAUGUUCCAUAAAAUGGAAUAACACGGAGAUUCGUUUUCCCCUCUGCAUGGUUAUGCUAGGGGAAGGAGUUUAAAAGGACCAAUUAACCCAAUUGAAGUAAAUGAAACAUAUAGGCAAUGCCAACUAGUCGAGACUAAACUAGUUACCUGUAUAGGAAUAAGUGCGAGACUCAAAGAACCCCUGAUUUAAUUAGCACUGGAAUGAAAUAGACUAGAAUAUAGCUAAAUUCUUUAGUUAUGUGCUCCUCUUCUCCUUCCUCACUCUCUUGCAAAUAACCUCCUUUCGUAGAUGCCAAGACCUCCUCGCUAUUAUGAUAUUAUCAAGAGUAACCAAGUGAUCUUUCGAUCUCUGUAACUAUUUCUCCAUUUUCUGUUUCUGUUUGAAUAGCUUAUGUUUUACUUUUCAAUAUUUUUAUUUUGCAGAAAGAAAUUGCAUUAUACUCAUCGUCAAAGAUCACCAGUGAAUUUUGUUGGUUUGAUAUUGAUGAGAAAAGAAGAAGGACCUGCACAUGGUGCUUAUCGACUUGGAGAAGGCGUAUGACAAGGUCCCNN
rnacentral:lncRNA from 1 species